GCGAAUUCGGGGAAGGCGUCCUCGUGCAAAUGGCGGCCUCAAUCACAAGCCUGUGGAGAAGAGGCGCGCGUCGGUCUCCGGGUUCAUAUCGCCUUUCGAGCCGCACCGCAACAAGCAAAGUCUCUCGAGUCGUGGCGCGGGUCACGUUGCAGCCAUGAGGAGUCCCCGCGGCAGUUCUGCCAUCUUGGAAACCGAAGCGGUGCGACCGUCAUUGGCCGGACGCAGAAGGUCGUCCUUCCCCCUCGCCAUCUUGAUCGGGGCGCUCAUAAAGCGCGCCAGGAAGGCCGUCGACGUGUUUGUCUCGAGCGCAGUCGCCAAGUUCGCACACGCCGCGUCCCGAUCUCGCCACAGUCGCCGUCCACCCUCGCCCACAGACCGUGCCAGCCGUGCCCGCUUCCGAGCGCCCAGAGUCGUCGGGCAGCCCGCAGUACCCCCGAGCCCUUAGCCCAGCCCAGGCAGCCAGCCCAGAGUCUCGGCGUUCGGCGCUCCCACUGACCCAACGAAGCCCACCAAGGUUCGGAUGCGCAGCAAGGCCGUCGCCUUUGCAGUCAUUGACCAGCUGUUCGAAACCAUUCUCACCCGGCGAGGAAGCCGUCUGGGUAACAGUGGAAACGUCCUGGAGCUACAGGUGCUCACGCAGUUGCACCACGUUCCUUGAGAAUCGGCCCCGGCUAGUCAACUAGCUUCCGAGGAACAUCUGCCUUCUGUGAAGGUGUGCGUCGAAGAGUCGUCCUCAGCCGUGCUGCAGCAGUGAGCCUCUCCCUAGGAGUGGUGCGAAGCUUUCGUCCAUUUGGUCGUCCGUUCCAAAUUCCCCUCAUCAUGCGCCCCGGCGAAUCUCCUGCCAUUCCCCAACGAAAGGCGAAUUUCGAAGCCGAAAGCCGCAAGAUGUCCGGCUUCAAGUCGUUCUCCAAGGACCCCCAGUCCCCUUUCAAGAACAACAGCUCCACCGACCAGAAGAAGACCGACCAACCACGGAACCCCUGGGGUCCCACCUUCAAGGACCGCCAGCACUUCGUGGACAUGCAUUUCAACUGAACUGAAUCUUCGGGGCAGGGGCCCAACACCUCCUAUAUAACAAGGCCUUAGUGCUGCCCUCACUACGUCAUCCAUAGUAAGCCAACGCGGAGCACUGAUUAGACACAAGUGUUAUGUCUCCGUCCGGCUGAGUCUCGUGUCCUCAAUGGUACACUGGUCCCUGCCGAACACUGACCCAGCACUCACGUUCAAUCUGUACUCCGCCCUGGCCUCCGUUUGGUGACGAAAUUCAGCACCAAGGCCUCGUUACCUAGGACGCGAUGGCGGGAGACGCUUCCCGAGCCCCGCACCCCUCUUCCGACUUCCGUUAGGGGCUUCGCAAAUGAGACGCAUCGCUUUCGCAGCACCUGUAGGGAGGUGCCUUCUGUACCCGUAUUUGCUACGAGCUUGCCGCACUGGUGACGAUGAUUACUUUGAUGUCAUAUUUACAAGUUAUACUUGUGUCUGUAGAAUCUCUGUGUAGGUGUUUUCUUAACAAAUAUAUGGUACUUAUAUACCGUUAAUGAACAAAGAUAUUUUAUAUCCUAACUUUUUUUUUCGUUUCUACUUCUGUUUAAUCUACAAUAAACUCGGCCUAGUGCCUUCACUGCCAUA